rnacentral:lncRNA from 1 species
UUGGAGUUUAUUAUAUAAACAUAGACUGUUAUUAAUGUCAAUAUUUUGUAUACAUACACAUAUAUAUCCAUACUGUUAAUUGGUAAUCAUUGUAAACUAAAUAACUUUAUGAGGUAGUUUAUUACAUAGGAUGCAGUUACAAUUUUGCAUUCCAAGAGUAAAUUAAGUAUUUUGUGGAAGGGUACUUUGGACAAUUGGCUGCACAUUGACACGCGGAUCCUGGAUAUGUGGUCGGAACUAUAUCCAGUCAUAGAUGGAUACCACGUGGAUCUUGCAGUAAUUGAAUUUGAAAUUAAUAGUAACCAUACUAGGCUUACGUAGUUAAGGCCUUCAUGACGUUCUGCCUCUUAAAGCCUUCAACGACUCUUAUCAAACCAUCAUAUCUACAAUAAAUUCAAAUUAAUGCCGAUUCUAUACCAAAAGAACAUUUCCAUAACAAGCAAAUCUAUAAAUUUAAUUUAAAAUAAUUUGACUUACAAAUAUAUGUAUACCAGCCUAAUCCCAUAUAUUCCGUUGAUUCUAACAAAACAUAUAUCAUUAAAGCCAAUUUCAGUUAAUGCAUUACCAUACCAAGCAAAGUUAUAAAUCGAAAGCCGAAAUAACAAAAUUCACGGAUAUUACCUUACCAAUCUGGUGUAGAGGCAGAAGCUUAAAAGAGAUGAAAUACGGCUACUCUGUUUUUAGACACAAAAACAGAGCACGUGUGGUAUAAACGGAGAACGAAACCGAUGGGUUCGUGAAAGAGAGAGAGAUGGAUCAAUGAAGAUGGAGUGAUGGCGAGACGGAAUCGAUGCGAGAGUCCUCCUCUCAGGGCUUGAAACACAAGCUCUUUUGUAGCAAAGGCUACGAGUUUUCUUUAUUACUUUCAAAUCAAUGAUGUUGAUACAAAGACUUGAAUCCUAUUUAUAACGAAAGGAAAAAGAUACGAUCUAAUCCUAAAUCUAACUAGAUAAGUUAUUGAGCUUAUCUAGUGUAACAAGAAAAUAAAACGCAAAAUCAAAUGAAAAACCAAACUUGUUGAGCACGUAAAAGACAACUCCGACUCUUGUGCUCAACGACUCUAAACUCAAAGGAUGCGCUGCAUCACAAUCUAAGCCCAUAUCUUCCGAUGGUUAUGCAAGACUUAUCAUUAUAGAUUCGACUUCAAUUAUG